rnacentral:rRNA from 1 species
CACGUAGGCACCAAGCGUUGUCCGGAUUUAUUGGGCGUAAAGAGCUCGUAGGCGGUUCGGUAAGUCGGGUGUGAAAACUUUGGGCUCAACCCAAAGCGUGCACUCGAUACUGCCGUGACUGGAGUUCGGUAGGGGAGCGGGGAAUUCCUAGUGUAGCGGUGAAAUGCGCAGAUAUUAGGAGGAACACCGGUGGCGAAGGCGCCGCUCUGGGCCGAUACUGACGCUGAGGAGCGAAAGCGUGGGGAGCGAACAGG